CAGCCGCCGCGGUAAUACGUAGGGCGCGAGCGUUGUCCGGAAUUAUUGGGCGUAAAGAGCUUGUAGGCGGUUGGUCGCGUCUGCUGUGAAAGGCUGGGGCUUAACCCUGGUUUUGCAGUGGGUACGGGCUAACUAGAGUGCAGUAGGGGAGACUGGAAUUCCUGGUGUAGCGGUGGAAUGCGCAGAUAUCAGGAGGAACACCGAUGGCGAAGGCAGGUCUCUGGGCUGUAACUGACGCUGAGAAGCGAAAGCAUGGGGAGCGAACAGGAUUAGAUACCCCCGUAGUCCCUGUCUCUUAUAC
rnacentral:rRNA from 1 species